rnacentral:rRNA from 1 species
UACGUAGGGGGCUAGCGUUGUCCGGAAUCAUUGGGCGUAAAGCGCGUGUAGGCGGUCCGGUAAGUCCGCUGUGAAAGUCGAGGGCUCAACCCUCGAAUGCCGGUGGAUACUGUCGGGCUUGAGUACGGGAGAGGCGAGUGGAAUUCCUGGUGUAGCGGUGAAAUGCGCAGAUAUCAGGAAGAACACCAACGGCGAAGGCAGCUCGCUGGGACGGUACUGACGCUGAGACGCGAAAGCGUGGGGAGCGAACAGG